rnacentral:ncRNA from 1 species
UCAAAAGUUUAGACGGAGACAAAAAUACCUGUUUGCAUGAUUAUAGAGAGCUAAUGGUUGGUGGAAAUUAGCAUCGUGUGAGGUGUACAAUGAUCACUCCCGAGCUGCCAAGUCGAAAGAAUCCAAGUAGGCAAGGCCGGUCGCCACCGUUAUAUGGCUAUAUGGUUAAGGCUUGCCCCUGACCUGAGUUUAGAGAUGGCUUUUGCCAUGAAUUAGGGUGGUACCACGAGGAAUAUAUACCUUCGUCCCUAUA